rnacentral:lncRNA from 1 species
UGGCAAAGAAAAAUUAUCCUUCGGACAAGCUUCGUUCAGAUUUGCGUAGUCGAUGCAGAUUCUCUAUUUUUUAUUAGACUUUCUCACCAUCACUACAUUGGUGAGCCAAUCAGGAUAAGUAGCUUCUCUGAUGAAGUCAGCUGUGAGGAGCUUGUCGACUUUCUCAUCGAUGACUUUCUAUCUUUCAAAAGCAAAAGGCCUUUUCUUUUGUCUCACUGGCUUGAUCUUUGGGUCAAUAUUGAGUCGAUGAGUUAUUACUUUUGGAGGAUUUGCUGACAUGUCUGUUGCUGAUCAAGUAAAAAUGUCAGUAUUUAUGCUCAGUAGCUUUAUUAAUUGUUGUCACUCCAGAUCAGAUAGCUGUGAUCUAAUUUGGACCGUCUUCUCAGAAUCUUCUUCUUUUAAUGGAAAGAAAAUCAGUUGUUCGGCUGGUUCACCCUUUUCUUCAUUCUCUCUUUGGUCUAGU